UAGCUCAAUGGUAGAGCAUUGGAUAUCUAAGCUAAAGGUCUUGGGUUCGAUUCCCAU
rnacentral:tRNA from 1 species